rnacentral:rRNA from 1 species
UGGUGGAUAUUGCACAAUGGGCGAAAGCCUGAUGCAGCGACGCCGCGUGGGGGAUGAAGGCCUUCGGGUUGUAAACUUCUUUUGCUCUGAACAAGGCAUGCCUUUGGGGUGUGUUGAGUGUAGGGGUUGAUUAGCGCCGGCUAACUACGUGCCAGCAGCCGCGGUAAUACGUAGGGCGCGAGCGUUGUCCGGAAUUAUUGGGCGUAAAGGGCUUGUAGGUGGCUGGUUGCGUCUGUCGUGAAAGCUCAUGGCUUAACUGUGGGUUUGCGGUGGGUACGGGCUGGCUUGAGUGCAGUAGGGGAGGGUGGAAUUCCUGGUGUAGCGGUGGAAUGCGCAGAUAUCAGGAGGAAUACCGGUGGCGAAGGCGGGUCGCUGGGCUGUUACUGACGCUGAGGAGAGAAAGCGUGGGGAGCGAACAGG